rnacentral:miRNA from 1 species
UUAGUAAUUAGCUGUGAAGAUGAA